CUUGAAACCCUGAGCCCUGUCCCAGGCAGAUCCAGAGCCCUCACCCCCGACCCUGACCCCUGCUCUGAUGCAAGAAUGGCCUGCUUUCAUACAGACUAAGUGGGCUUGAGCAAUACUUCUGACAUCAUCUGCAGAAAUGGACUUUCCCUUCACUUCAGUUGUCCCCAGUUGUCCUCACCUCGUAGCCCACACCUCAAGCACUGCCAGAUGUCAGGAAUCUGAGAAGUGACCAGCUCUGAACCCCAGUGGCCCAGUGCAAGGGCCUAGAAACCAGACACCACCUGACUUGGAAUCCCUACUCCAGCACUUGGGUGAGCUCCCAUAUUUCUGAGUCUUAAUACUCUAAUUUGCAAAAUAAGACUCGUACCCUGGAAAAUCUUGAACAAUAGCAUAGGGUGGUU
rnacentral:lncRNA from 1 species